AUGUUUUCCAAUAUUGAAGGACCAGUGAAAAUGAACCAAUAUAUCACAACAUCAACUUUUUUGCACCUGCAAGUACGUCUGAACUUCAGACAAGAAAAUCACUUAGAAAAUGGACCUUGGGAGGCGCUGAUGUGCUGGGCAGCCACACGCCAUAGCUGCCGGGCGGGGGAGUUGGAUCUGUACGCCUCAUGCAGCCUGUACACGAGAAAAUGGUCAAGGGCAGCUUCCUUAUCCAUUGCUGAACCUGCAAGUCGACGGAGAAGUCCUCCAGGCAUCUCACUGAUGGAUGACCAUGAGAGGCGGCUCGAACUUUUUAGUUCAUGCAUUUGA
rnacentral:rRNA from 1 species